rnacentral:siRNA from 1 species
GAUUGUAUAAUUAUGGGAAGAUG